CAGCUUCAAAUCUAUACACCUCAAAGACAUCCAAAUAAAAAAGAAUUACAAAAUAAUAUUGAUUUCAAGUGAUGGGUAUUCGUAAAUCCUCAUAUGCUUCCUUUGCAGUUUUUGUCAUUGUAAUGUUCUUGAUCACAGAAGCAAGAACAGUAAGUGCUGAUACCUGUCCGGGAUUAUGUGCUCCUGGACUUAAGCCAGACUGCAAAACAUUGUGCAAAAGCUAUGGAUAUCCAACCGGAUCUUGCAAAGGAAUACAAUGUUGUUGCCAUUCAAAAUUAUCGAAGUCCUCAAAUAUCCCUCUUCCUUAAUUUUGUUUUUUUUAUAAAUCUUGAUUGCUCUUCUAUAUUUCUGAAUAAACACUGAGUACUGAAUAAAGAUUAAACUUGACUAAAAACAACUUAUAAUAUUUAAUUCAAAGUUUAUCUCUUA